UACGUAGGGGGCAAGCGUUGUCCGGAUUUAUUGGGCGUAAAGAGCGUGUAGGCGGCCUUGCAGGUCAGCUGUGAAAACUCGAGGCUCAACCUCGAGACGUCGGUUGAAACCGUAAGGCUAGAGUCCGGAAGAGGAGAGUGGAAUUCCUGGUGUAGCGGUGAAAUGCGUAGAUAUCAGGAGGAACACCGGUGGCGAAGGCGGCUCUCUGGACCACAACUGACGCUGAGGCGCGAAAGCUAGGGGAGCAAACAGG
rnacentral:rRNA from 1 species